UUUCCGUAGGUGAACCUGCGGAAGGAUCAUUACAGAGUUCAUGCCCUCACGGGUAGAUCUCCCACCCUUGAAUAUUUAUACCUUAGUUGCUUUGGCAGGCCGUGGAAACACCAUGGGCUCCGGCUUAUGCGUGCCUGCCAGAGGAAACAAACUCUGUUUUUAGCGAUGUCUGAGUACUAUAUAAUAGUUAAAACUUUCAACAACGGAUCUCUUGGUUCUC
rnacentral:misc_RNA from 1 species